AUGCGUUGGCACCGUGCGGCGGUGUUUGGUUCCUGCGGGACGCGGUAAAUGUCACCUUUGAACAUAAAAAACAACGUCAAAGCGAACAAUGUCGUCGCGCCUGAGAAAGCUCCGACUGCAGAUUAAAAGAAAGCAGUAGAACAAGGCAAUUUACGUAGUAAGAAACAUGAAGGGUUCUCCGGUCGUCUUACGAGAGGACGAUGUCUGUGGAUCGAAUGCGACGUUGGUGCUUUCCCGGAGUUAUGUCUGAUAGUACAGACAGCGAAAAUGGCGAAGAUGGAGUUUCUCUACUAGCAGACUUAGAAGAGGGGACUAUUUCCAACCUUUAAUUUUGUAUCUCGAGGUGAGAUAGUUGCAGGAUGGCUAAAUGUUAGACGCAUAUUUUUUUUUAGGCUACCCUAUAAAAUUUUUGUAUGUACAACGCAAUAAGCAACCACUUGAGAGCCAGAUGUUUUCUUAAAACCGCAUUUCUCGCCCCUCGCUCUGUCAAAAUGGGGUGCAAUAACAUUUUAAUAAAUAUCUUUUGUCAUUUCUCGGCUAACCGUGCAUUCGACUGUUGCGGGCUAUUGUUUGCAUUACGUGAAAUUGCGAAGACUUGAAGAUGCGAACCGUGUCACCUCGCUGAUGGACUGAUCGCCUGUCAUUUUGACCAAAAUAGUUAAUAAUUAUUCAAUUUAAUAUAUUUUAUUAUUAUGGUUACCCUAUCUUACACGCAUUUAUGAAAUAUCAUUUUCAAUGCACGAUUUCUUCAGAAAAAAUCGAUACCAAAUAUAAGCAACGCACGUCCACCAAACGCGUUUAUUCUCUCUCUGCACACAUGUGUAGGUAAGCGCAUUAUGUAUCCGUCCGCUGAAGCAAGAACAACCGCAUUAUGUGUCCCGGCAUAUGGUUUUGGAUCCAUGCAUAUUUAUAUACUCGGGUAUACACAUAUACACGCACGCAUCUUAACCUAUAAUAACGGUCGUCCGGGUUCAGUUGAUAAUCCGUAUCUUGAAAGACGAAGUCGAUUGGCCGACAGACGGAAAAUUGGGCGGGACUCAGUCGUUUUAUGAGGCAGCUUAUUUUUUGCGACCGCUCUUGUAUAUAAUACUUCGUCGUCGUCAAGCACGUAUACACGGUGUAACAACGCUUGCUUGGAGUAGAUUAAGAUCUUUUAAUUUAAGUUUUGUUGCGAAAUAGGGUAAAUUUGCUAGUACGCCUGUUACGUGCAGUGAUCGCUCACAAACGUUUUUUAAUAACUGAAAUUUCACCCAAAGCAUUUGGUACAGUGUUAUCUCAAAAACAGUCAUAAAAAGAUCUCAUCCUAUUUCCUCAGCAUUGGUUUCUCCGACUAAUAUAAAGAAUUGCCACAAAAACUAUCCACGCAAUUUUAACAAAAACUUAUUUAUUUAUUUGCUCUUUGGGACACAACAAUUUUCUAUCAAGAAUGAACAAAAUAUUCAUUACUCUAAUGCAAUACAAAUGCCAUAAUAUAAUAUAAUAACAAAACGUAACCAAUAAUAGAAAACAUACAUAAAUGCAUCAAACAUAUAGUUUAAACUUAAAAAGUGCAUUAAACCAAGGAUACGCAAAACCCAAGCCAAAGCGAUAGAGAUGACGAGGGAAAAGUCAGUAUUAAAAGAGAUAAAGUAAAACGGAAGCCAGAAAAGUUAUAAAGGCGAUUGCAAUUUUUAUUUGUUCGCUAUCUCGCAUGAUUAUGUAACAAACAAAUCCAGGUCUGAGCAACAAAGUUUGCACCUCUCAGCAUUAAAACCAGGAGAGGAUUUUAAUAAUUAUUGGUAUUGCUGAAGCGAAUAAUAAAUAAGGGCUCAGUUCCAAAGUGUUGAGGUGCUACAUUAAAUGGUAUUUUCUUAAAUAUUUAAGAACGGCUCGGCCAUUCAAGAUUAGUAACGCAUUCUUAGGUUAUUUACAUCUUGGGUUAUUAAGUUUAAAAAAAAUCUCUGGAAAUGGUCACUUGUAUGAUUGUUAUUGUAUUACCUAGGGCUCCAAAUAAUAGCAGCAGAAUUUGCUGCUGUGUACAUACUCAUAAUACAGGCUGAGAUAAUCGCGGCAGCUGUUGAAAACCUUUACUCGUCGAUUCAUAAACCCUAAUAUUUGAAAACUAAAUGACAUGACGGUGUUGAUGUGAGGUUGUAAUAUUAGCUUCGCGUCCAAGAUGGCUCCAAGAUCUCUCACUUCUGUGAUUUUUUCAGAGUACUGUUAUUAAUAAAGUAGU